UGGACAGUGUCUCAGCUCACCCAAAGCUUCUUCUGGCCAGGCAUCUCUCAGGAUCUGAGGCAGUACUGCCAGAUGUCUAACAUAGCGUUGUGAAAAGGGCCUUCCUUCAUCCAAUAGGUAGGGAUGGUGAACACGGGUAACGAGGAAUCAGGGUUCGAUUCCGGAGAGGGAGCCUGAGAAAUGGCUACCAUAUCCAAGGAAGGCAGCAGACGCACAUAUUACCCACUCCCGACGCCGGGAGGUAGUGA